rnacentral:rRNA from 1 species
GAGUUUGAUCCUAGCUCAGAUUGAACGCUGGCGGCAUGCCUUACACAUGCAAGUCGAACGGCAGCACGGGAGCUUGCUCCUGGUGGCGAGUGGCGAACGGGUGAGUAAUGCAUCGGAACGUAUCCUGGAGUGGGGGAUAACGUAGCGAAAGUUACGCUAAUACCGCAUAUUCUGUGAGCAGGAAAGCGGGGGACCUUCGGGCCUCGCGCUCUUGGAGCGGCCGAUGUCGGAUUAGCUAGUUGGUGAGGUAAAGGCUCACCAAGGCGACGAUCCGUAGCAGGUCUGAGAGGAUGAUCUGCCACACUGGAACUGAGACACGGUCCAGACUCCUACGGGAGGCAGCAGUGGGAAUUUGGACAAUGGGGCAACCCUGAUCCAGCCAUGCCGCGUGAGUGAAGAAGGCC